rnacentral:lncRNA from 10 species
AGUUCAGGCGCGAGGCAAGCAGCCGAGGUCCGGGGCUGCGGCCGCGGCCGGGGCGGACCCGGGAGCUGGGCUUCCCAAAGCGUCGCGUGUGGGCAACGGCGGCCUCCUGGCCGCGUGGAACUGAGCCCUGCGCUGCAGCAUGAAGGCGGCGGCGGCGGCGGCGGCGGGCGCGCGGCCGUGAGCUCAGCCCGCGCUGCAGUGACGGGAGCGGCCGUGUCGGCCAGACCCCGAGAGUCCGUGAGACCCCGGCCGGGGCCGCUCCGCUGCUGUCAGCCCUCGGGCCUCCCAGCCAGACUGGUUCUGAACCGAUUUAUCAGGGGGUUGCGGAGAGGGCCGGCGAAGCGCCAGGAAAUCCCCAGGCUGAGGAGGCGCGGGGGCGUUGCAGGAAGGGGGAAGGGAAAAGGCAGAAAACCUGGAGAAUGAAAGCGAACUUCCAGGGGCGUCCCCAGCCUCCUGCAAAAGGGCAAUUUGCUGAUCGCCCACUUCCUCGCAGUUACGGGAUAGAGAGAAUCAUCACUGAGUCAAGCUUCGGCUGCUUAGGGCGGUGGGAAAAGUCAUUAUCUAUAAUAACCCGCCGGAAAUUUUGAGGAGAGCUACUGACUUGGGGGUUUCAGUCAUCUGAGGCUGGCUUCCGCUGUCCCCUUAGUUGUGGGUGGUGAUUUGCUUACUAAUCAGAUGGGAGCGGAUUCUGAAAAGAACAUUUAUAUUUGGGAAUCAACUCAGCUCAGCAUCAGACAUUACGAAUACUGCAGUUGGUCACAUUUUACUAUGUGAAGGGCAGAAAGGGAGCCCAACAGUCUUCAUAAGCCAGACCUAGUCUCUAAGGUCACCGGCACAGACGCAGGGUCUAAAGCAGGAAAGAGGUGCGACUGGAAAGGAGGUUAGACAGGGCCCUGCGGGAAUGGAUCUGCCCGGAGCCCUCGCCUGGUUUUGCUUGAGACUCCGACAAGACUCCCAAUGCUUCUCUCCCCGACCCUAUCCCCACUCCCUCCAUCCUGGAAAAGCCAGUGAGCAAAGUUAACUCUUUCUUCUAAGAAACCCUGAGUGAAAUCUUGCUCUUCCUUUCUGCUAGAGUCCUGAAACCCUUUCGCUUCUCAUUGUGGGUUCACCAGCACGUGGUCUUCGGACACUGAGAGCACCUUCGCUCUCAGCUGUGAUCCUAGCUAGCCCAGACACCAGUCUGUACCCAAAGGAAGAGUAGGAAGUUGCAAAGGGAAGCUGGCUAACAAGGGCUUCUUCUGCCCUACUUGGCAAAGGCCCAUACGGGUGGCCUCCGUGGAUAUGGAGCUCCUUCAUUUUGUUCCAAAAAGAGCUCUGCCAGGCUUUACCAUUGCCCUGGAGGUGCACAGGCGCCCGUAUACUCGAGCACAACCAUGGGCUCACCCCAAGCGCGCACACCUGCACCCACGCGUAAGGAAGAACCACACAGCUAUCUCUGUCGGGGAAGAACACGAGGAGUGAAGUGCUUUAGGUGGAAACUCCUCACAUCUCCUUUCUUUCCUCUGCUCCCCCUCUCUGCCCCUGGUACUCCGGAUCCAAUCCUUGGCUUAGGAAUCCACUCAAGCCACGUCUGGCUGCUUUGUUCCAGAGGAGCGCAGCUCCGAGACUGCACUUCAGCGGUGCAGCCUCCCUCCAGGUCGGCGAGCGGCGCCAGAUCCGGGACUUCAGGGUCUCCGCGGGAGCUUAGGAGGCUCAGGAUCUGAGUUGGAGAGCUGGAAGGCCAAACUCCGAGCCGCUGAGGGACUGCGCAGGAAGACCACAGAAAUAAACCAAAGGGACACCGCGGACAGAUGUACCAGAGGACACCACUGAAGUCCAGGAGAAUCUCCACCAAAACCAUCAGCGUUUUCCUUGUAGCUUUCUGUCCCUCGAAGUGGAAAGUUGAGGUUUCUGAGAAGUCCACGGAGAGAACCUGCAGCAAACUGAAGCCACAGACUCCGAAGGCAUAGGGAGAAAAAAUGCUUCCAUCCCCCUUUCACUUUAAACUUGAUCGCUUCUGGGACUUCACUGGAGGGCGGUGGAGUUGCACCAACCUGGAGUACAGGCAGAUCCCAGCGAGCACUUCCAAGUACUUUAGGACGUGGGGGUGACUCUUUUUUCUUCAGGAUUGUCCCACUUGCCACCCUUUCCAGCUGAGCUGAUAGGAACCAAUGAAAGUCUAGGCGAUGAGGAUUUUCCGUUACCUCAGGGAUCAAAGUAUAAAAUGUUGAAUGAGAAACCCGAAGACCUUGCAUCGCUGGGCUGAAUAACUUGUUUUCUUUUUUAUGGUGUCCAGACUGAGGUAGGGAGGGGACACACUGACCUAGCUGUAAGAAGUCAAGGGUUGGGACAAAACAAAGUUCAAAUAUAUACUGGAAUUUGUGUGUGUGUGUGUUUCAGAAACUGUGUGUGUGUGUGUGUGUGUGUGUGUGUGUGUGUGUUUUCAGCUUGAGAAAGAUGAAAUCACGUUUCCUUAAUGCUGGGAGUAAUAAUGCUUAAUGCUUAACUUUUCAUUGUUCUUUCAUGUUUCAAGCCCUACCAGGCCCAGGAAAACACUUCUUUCCGUUUCCUGUAGCCUUCCUGCGUAUCAUGCAUUAUAUUUGAAAGUGCUUUCCUCUACUUUCCUCAUUUUAUCUCAAUAAUCUCUGCUAAAACCAGAUAACUUUCACCCUCCCGGUUCAGCAUUUGCUCUUUUCCCUCCUACACAAGCUGAUUAGAAUUUGCAAAGAGAGAGGAAGAAGAAAGGUUCUAUUUUGUUUCAUGAUUGUUGCUAGAAAACUUCAUUUUUCUGAGGACCAAUGGUGAUAAGUGUUGGUCUGCCUAUCUUCCCAGAAUAAUCCAAGAUUUGGGGAAAGAAAGAGUAUUUUGCUAAUUUCAGGUAAUUAAUGGAGAUAUGAAUGUUUUUCAGUUAAAGUGAUGAAUAUCAAAAGAUUACCUGAGUUUCUGUUUAUAUUGUUAUUUAAUAUUUGAGUUUCUCUUUAAGGUAGUAAAAAAGUUAUGAUCUAGUUUUUUUUAAUGGCGUUAACAAUUAGUUUGCACAUCUUAUGCAUUUUAUUUACAUGGAUUAAAGUAUGUGGUAAGUUAUCACUUUAAUUCAUAAAUUUGUUUUAUAUGUAACUGAAGAAGCUUAUUGUAAAUUGGAAAUACCUUACCUUCAAAUUUCCUGGGUGAGAAAUCACUAUUGAGUUAUUUCUACUUUGAUUAUUUUUACUAAUAUAAUGUAAUAUAAGUUAUCUGACAGUUCAAGACUGGAAAUUGGUAUGAAGAAACAAGGAAAUACAAGUUUCUGAAAUGAAGGGAUAUCAUUCAAAACAAAUCUGAGUUAAACAGAAGAAAUGAAAUCCAAACAUUGACAUUUUUUUAAUCUACAUAGUUUUGAAAUAUAAAACGAAAUGUGCUUAUAUUAGGAGCAUGUUUCCAAUGUUGCAACUGACCUUGAACUCCUAGAACACAGUGUAUUUUAGCAACUAGAUCUCACCAAAAUAUAUAUUUCAACUGACUUCAAUACAGAGUUGAAGACCCCAGCAUAUUUCUGGCAUACAUAGGUAAACAGAUUUCUCAUUGGAACAAAAAGAACCAAAUGUAUUUAGUAUUUAAUCUUCUUUUGAGUUACAGAAAUAUUUUUUCUUGUUUCUUGAUUUUUUAAACUUGAUUUAUAUAAAACACAUUUCCUUUCCUUUCUUUCUGUAUCUCUGUUGUAG